GAGGGUAUAGCUCAGUGGUAGAGCACAUGUUUUAGCAUGCACGAGGUCCUGGGUUCAAUCCCAGUACCUCUG
rnacentral:tRNA from 1 species